CUUGGACACAGCAGCCUCAUGGCAUGAGGGGGGGAUUUGCUGCUGUUCACAUUGCAGUGACAUGGAGAGGAGAUAAUAUCCAAACACAAAAAAACCCCAGGUAGUCCCCAGUUAAGCCUGGACAUUAUUCCAUUUGAUCUGCUAGUAACAAAGCAGGAAAGACCCUGGGGCCCAAGGACUACUGGAUAAUGCUACAUCUGUGCUACUUUAUCAGUCUUGCACAAGGACAAACGAGCAGCAAAAGGGAACCUCCCUUCUCUCCCGUGGAGUGGAGUCUACAAUCAAGCAGCCAAGGCAGAGGAACAAGCCCUUGUCAGUCUGUAUGCACAGCCUGGCUGGCAGAGUGCAUUUUCCUUAACAUGUCUAAUCCCACAAGUAUGUGGUGGCUUGCUCUGCAGAAACCUCAGCUUUUCAGGUCCAGCCCCCCUCAGGGGUAGAGGGGAAUUGAAUAAGGGCCCUCCCAGCAGGAACACACCCUGUCACUGUUGGGACUUCACCAUGCUGAGUACUAUCCAGAGCUCACAGCCAGACGUGCUCCACCACAAACAGCCUGAGAGGGAAAAAUAAAGCCCUGCCUAUUUGCUUUUUGCAACA